AUACUUAUUAAUCUGAAUUGUGCUUGAGUAAGAGUAGUGUAUUUGUUUCAUAAAAAAAUUGCAAUCAGAAUCAAAAUAUUUAAAUAAUAAAUCAAGAUAAGUAAACCCAAUAGUGUUUCAAUGGAGAACACGAACAGAUUGUCACAAAGGUUCAUCCAGGUAUAAUAAACAGAACAAUCUUGUAGCCCAUAAAUUUAUGAAGCCUCGGCGACAAAUCAAAUCAAGUCAUAUAUAGAUUCUCUCAAGCAAAUCUACCAGAAUUGAAAACAGAACUCUGAAAAAUUUUGUGUUUCUAGAAAUACUGUUCUUAAAAAAUUCACAAUGUGAACUCAA